rnacentral:rRNA from 1 species
GACGAACGCUGGCGGCGUGCCUAAUACAUGCAAGUCGAGCGGACAGAUGGGAGCUUGCUCCCUGAUGUUAGCGGCGGACGGGUGAGUAACACGUGGGUAACCUGCCUGUAAGACUGGGAUAACUCCGGGAAACCGGGGCUAAUACCGGAUGGUUGUUUGAACCGCAUGGUUCAAACAUAAAAGGUGGCUUCGGCUACCACUUACAGAUGGACCCGCGGCGCAUUAGCUAGUUGGUGAGGUAACGGCUCACCAAGGCAACGAUGCGUAGCCGACCUGAGAGGGUGAUCGGCCACACUGGGACUGAGACACGGCCCAGACUCCUACGGGAGGCAGCAGUAGGGAAUCUUCCGCAAUGGACGAAAGUCUGACGGAGCAACGCCGCGUGAGUGAUGAAGGUUUU